AAUCCAUAGGUUAAUGAGGCGAACCGGGGGAACUGAAACAUCUAAGUACCCCGAGGAAAAGAAAUCAACCGAGAUUCCCCCAGUAGCGGCGAGCGAACGGGGAGGAGCCCAGAGCCUGAAUCAGCAUGUGUGUUAGUGGAAGCGUCUGGAAAGGCGCGCGAUACAGGGUGACAGCCCCGUACACAAAAGCGCAUGUGCUGUGAGCUCGAUGAGUAGGGCGGGACACGUGGUAUCCUGUCUGAAUAUGGGGGGACCAUCCUCCAAGGCUAAAUACUCCUGACUGACCGAUAGUGAACCAGUACCGUGAGGGAAAGGCGAAAAGAACCCCGGCGAGGGGAGUGAAAAAGAACCUGAAACCGUGUACGUACAAGCAGUGGGAGCACCCUUCGGGGUGUGACUGCGUACCUUUUGUAUAAUGGGUCAGCGACUUAUAU
rnacentral:rRNA from 1 species